UUUUUGCAUUUUGGUUUAUAACUUCUCUCAGUUUUCUCUCCAACCUCUACCACACAUUGUAAUUGAGGAAGCUAAGUGAUGUAGUGGAUAGAGUGCUGGACUUAGAGUCUGAAAGUCCUGAGUUUGAUUCCUACCUCAGACAUUUACUAACUGUAUGACCUUGGGUGGAAGCGGAAGGCUGCAGAAUGCUGAGUGGAGAGGCUGGAGAGGGGGAAGAGAGCCCAAUAUUAUAUGACUUCAAAGGGGUUUUUUACUCAGGAGAUGUUUAUAAAACAUGUGGAAUAAUUGACUUCCUGCCUUCGCUUCCCCAUAUUCUUACAUGGAAGAAAAGUUUAUGAAGAACUUCCCAAUCAUAAUCCAACUUGAUCCUUAUGACAGCCCAGGAGGAAAGGUCAUAGAACCAGAGAUGUUCAGAGUUGGAAAGGUUCUCGAAGAUCCAAUCUUACCUGUAGGAGGACAAGAAUCACCUGUAUAAAAUCCCAAAGAAGUGGUCAUUUGCCCAUUUUUUCAGACCUCUAAUACCAAGGGGGUAUCCA
rnacentral:lncRNA from 1 species